rnacentral:rRNA from 1 species
AAGAGCCCAAACCAAAGAUUUAUCUUUGGGGUUGCGGACAGAACAUUAACGAGAAAUUAUGGUUAACCGAACACAACUGGAAAGUUGGACCGUAGGGGGUAAUAGUCCUGUAGGUGAAAAUUGUAAUAAUCAAGUUCUGAUCCAGAGUACCACGAGACACGUGAAACCUUGUGGGAAGCAGGGAGGACCACCUCCCAAGGCUAAAUACUACCUGAUGACCGAUAGUGAAGCAGUACCGUGAGGGAAAGGU